UACGUAGGGUGCAAGCGUUAAUCGGAAUUACUGGGCGUAAAGCGUGCGCAGGCGGUUCGGAAAGAAAGAUGUGAAAUCCCAGGGCUUAACCUUGGAACUGCACUUUUAACUGCCGGGCUAGAGUAUGUCAGAGGGGGGUAGAAUUCCACGUGUAGCAGUGAAAUGCGUAGAGAUGUGGAGGAACACCGAUGGCGAAGGCAGCCCCCUGGGCCAAUACUGACGCUCAUGCACGAAAGCGUGGGGAGCAAACAGG
rnacentral:rRNA from 1 species